CUGAGAGUUUGAUCCUGGCUCAGAGCGAACGCUGGCGGCAUGCCUAACACAUGCAAGUCGAACGGUAACAGGAGAGAGCUUGCUCUCUUGCUGACGAGUGGCGGACGGGUGAGUAAUGUAUAGGGAUCUGCCUGACAGUGGGGGACAACAGCCGGAAACGGCUGCUAAUACCGCAUACGCUCUACGGAGGAAAGUGGGGGACCUUCGGGCCUCACGCUGACAGAUGAACCUAUAUCAGAUUAGCUAGUUGGUGGGGUAAAGGCCUACCAAGGC
rnacentral:rRNA from 1 species